GAAAUUUAUGAAAGCAUCUAUAUUCUUUGGGUUUCCUAGGUGGCAUGGUGGUAAAAAACUUGCCUGCCAAUGCAGGAGACCGAGGAGACGUGGGUUCGAUCCCUGGGUCAGGAAGAUGCCCUGGAGAAGGACAUGGCAACCCACUCCAGUAUUCUUGCCUGGAGAAUCCCACAGACAAAGGAGCCUGGCAGGCUACCGUUCAUGGGGUCACAGAGAGUCAGACACAUACACAGACUGUGAAGUAUAAAUUUUAUAGGCAUGUACGUACCUUCCGUAUGUAAUUUACUAAAGCUAUAUUUUAAAAUUCUGUAGUUAUGUACAUGCACUUAGAAUUGUCUAACCAUCAUGUACAAGUAAUAUCCAGACAUACAUAAUUUACUAGAGUUAUAUUUUGAAAUUCCAUACUUCUGUACGUGCACUUAGAACUCUCCGUCUAACCAUCAGUAAGAAGCUCAGCAUCCUGUCUUCUUUCUUCGUUUUUAUCAUUACAAAAAAAAAAAAAAAAAAGUGUCUGCUGUGUUAAAUGUUAGUUGGUUUGAUCACCCCAGGAUCAGACCCGCAUCUCCUGCAUCGGAAGGUGGUGUCUUUACAGCGGAGCUACCAGGGAAGCCCUCGCCUCACGCUUGUUGGGAAGAUCCCCUAGAGAAGGAACUGGCAACCCACUCGGGUACUCUUGCCUGGAAAAUCUCAUGGACGGAGGAGAAGCCUGGGCCUCCGAAGGGACAGAGAAACCCUGGUCGUCCUGGACUCUUCCGUUCCUCCUGUCUUCCAAGUAGAAGACAAGAUGCCGUGAGCAGAUUCCCUGCGUGGACCACGGGCGUGGCCGCGACUCUGAUGUGGCUGGAAGCAAGAUCCAAUGCCUGAGGGUCCCUGGAUGGGCCCUCCUUUGCGAAACCGGCAUGCCAUCCCAGGGGUGCAGGGUGGAGGGGGGACCCCCUGCGAGGAUCCAGCCCAUCUCCCCAUCACCCGUCUUGCGAAGCCAUCACGAGGCGGUCAGGACCCACGAGCCGGUGUCAACCUUCCCCCGGGGCGGGGGGCCAUGCUGGCAUCUACAACCUCCAUCCAUCCCCCCGGGGUGGGGGCGUUCCCACCCAGCCCCGCCCACCUGGCCCGUGCCUCCUGGGGAGUUUCAUCCGCCUCGCCCCCGCGCGCAGUGAUAACUCUCCGGGUGGGGACCCUGCCGCCCAGCGGGGCCUCCCACGGGAAGGCUCUCCGCUUACUCCCGGCUUGACGCGUCCGGAGGACAAGCAGCUUCAGAUCGCACCAUCACCGUUUCCGGCAGGCGCCGCUGCGGUCCGACCCUCCUCACGUCUCAGAUGCAGCCCCGUUCGUCUUGACAAACGCGACGCGCGCCCGGAGCUCUUCGGCUUCGUCCCGUACGUGCAGGAGAAAGACGCCCAAGGGAUCCCAGCUGCUCUCCUUGCCGACGCUCCCCACUCUGAGGGGUUUAACCCGUCUGCCGCGAGAAGACACCCGGAUGGGGAAGAAAAGAGAGUGACCCUGGAAAAUACAAGAUGCUGGGGACUUUGCAACCGGGACAAGAGGGUUCUGGGACCUCCCCCAAAACGCACCCGGUAGCGUCGUCUCUCUCUGGGACUCUCAAGGAUGCCGCAGUGAUCUUUCCACGUUGCACCAUGGAUAAGACUUGUGGGAGCCCUUCCAGGCAGCCACGGAGGACUCCGGAGCAUUUAUUGUUAUUAUUUUUUUUCCUGUCUGCUCUGUUUAAACCGAGAGGGAUCCAGGUUGACGGUGGAGGUGGGCCCCCCGCCCUGGGGGGUGCGUGUGUGUCUGUGAAUGUCCCCGCCGAUGCCGACCCCCAGCCCCCACUGACCCGUUCUCAAGCUGCUGAUGAGCGUUUUCUACGUCUACCCCCCACCCACCCCCCGCCCCCCAAGCGCUCCGUCUUUCUGUCCCGCGGGUGUGGUCUGUGGCGCCUCUGUUUUAUCUCGUCUCGUGGCUUCUGCCUGCCCCCUGCGUGGAGACGGGCAAUAAAGAGAAAAGCUAUUCCAGACAUUAUGGCUAUUCCAGAAAAUAAAAUAUUUUUGAAACCGCA
ensembl:lncRNA